CGUAAGGCGCCGAAUGAGUCAUUAAAAAUUAACAUCAUCCGAUCCCUAGUCGGCAUAGUUUAUGGUUAAGACUACGACGGUAUCUGAUCGUCUUCGAUCCCCUAACUUUCGUUCUUGAUUAAUGAAAACAUCCUUGGCAAAUGCUUUCGCAGUAGUCAGUCUUCAAUAAAUCCAAGAAUUUCACCUCUGACAAUUGAAUACUAAUGCCCCCAAUAUCCCUAUUAAUCAUUACGUCGAUCCUAGAAACCAACAAAAUAGGGUCAAACGUCCUAUUUCAUUAUUCCAUGCUAAUGUAUUCAAGC
rnacentral:rRNA from 1 species